ACGUAGGGUGCGAGCGUUAAUCGGAAUUACUGGGCGUAAAGCGUGCGCAGGCGGUUAUACAAGACAGGCGUGAAAUCCCCGGGCUUAACCUGGGAAUGGCGCCUGUGACUGUAUAGCUAGAGUGUGUCAGAGGGGGGUAGAAUUCCACGUGUAGCAGUGAAAUGCGUAGAUAUGUGGAGGAAUACCAAUGGCGAAGGCAGCCCCCUGGGAUAACACUGACGCUCAUGCACGAAAGCGUGGGGAGCAAACAGGAUUAGAUACCCUGGUAGUCCACGCCCUAAACGAUGCUGACUAGUUGUUCGGGAUUUACAUCCUGAGUAACGUAGCUAACGCGUGAAGUCAGCCGCCUGGGGAGUACGGUCGCAAGAUUA
rnacentral:rRNA from 1 species